rnacentral:rRNA from 1 species
GACGAACGCUGGCGGCGUGCUUAACACAUGCAAGUCGAACGGAAAGGCCCUGCUUUUGUGGGGUGCUCGAGUGGCGAACGGGUGAGUAACACGUGAGUAACCUGCCCUUGACUUUGGGAUAACUUCAGGAAACUGGGGCUAAUACCGGAUAGGAUCUCCUGCUGCAUGGUGGGGGUUGGAAAGUUUCGGCGGUUGGGGAUGGACUCGCGGCUUAUCAGCUUGUUGGUGGGGUAGUGGCUUACCAAGGCUUUGACGGGUAGCCGGCCUGAGAGGGUGACCGGCCACAUUGGGACUGAGAUACGGCCCAGACUACUACGGGAGGCAGCAGUGGGGAAUAUUGCACAAUGGGCGGAAGCCUGAUGCAGCAACGCCGCGUGCGGGAUGACGGCCUUCGGGUUGUAAACCGCUUUCGCCUGUGACGAAGCGUGAGUGACGGUAAUGGGUAAAGAAGCACCGGCUAACUACGUG